rnacentral:lncRNA from 1 species
AGAGUGGGAGCUCCAGGUCAGAAGACAGCUUAGAACUGGGUGGGUCAGAGCGAGGGCUUUGCUGCUGGGCUGCCAGGUCAGAAUCCCAGCUCUGCUAUGGCCAUUCCAUGUCCCAGAGCCUCAGCUUCCUCCUCUGUAAAACGGAGAUAAUGAUAACAUUGACCUCACAGCUAUUUACUGACAGCACUUAGUACAGACAGGACCUGGCACCCACUACGUAAAGAAUGAGGAUUUGUACAUUUGUUCAUUUAACAGAUAUUUAUUGAGUACCUGCUAUGUGCCAGGCACUGGGUGUUAGAAAUACAGUCAUGAACAAAACAGAUCCAUUUUCCCUUGAUUCUGUAGGGAAGAUAGACCACAGACCCCAGAACCAAGAGAUCGGUAAUACACUGCCUGGCAGUGACCUGCGCUGUGGGAAUCGGGUAUGAGGAUGGGGUCAGGUGUCCAAUACAGCGGCAGAAGAGCAGGUACCCAGGCAGAUAUGGGCAGAUUAAGAAACGAACCAGGGUUGAAGGGCCAACCCAAAGUGCGCAGCAAAUCAGAGGCGGGAG